rnacentral:tRNA from 1 species
AAAACUGUAGCUCAACGGAAGAGUAUGGGAUUGCGAAUCCCAAGGUUGAAGGUUCGAUUCCUUCCAGUUUUCCA